rnacentral:rRNA from 1 species
UACAGAGGGUGCAAGCGUUAAUCGGAAUUACUGGGCGUAAAGCGCAUGUAGGUGGAAAGACAAGUUUGAUGUGAAAGCCCUGGGCUUAACCUGGGAACUGCGUUGAAGACUGUCUAUCUAGAGUUUGGCAGAGGGCCGUGGAAUUUCCGGUGUAGCGGUGAAAUGCGUAGAGAUCGGAAAGAACACCAGUGGCGAAGGCGGCGGCCUGGGCCUAAACUGACACUGAGGUGCGAAAGCCAGGGGAGCAAACGGG